GCGGUCGUGGUGGAACGGCAGACACGCUAUCUUGAGGGGGUAGUGCCCACUGGGCGUGAGGGUUCAAAUCCCUCCGACCGCA
rnacentral:tRNA from 1 species